rnacentral:tRNA from 1 species
GUGGGGCUGUGGCUCAGUGGUUGAGCACCUGUCUUGCACAUGGGAGGUACUGGGUUCGAUCCUCAGCACCACA